GAGCAACACGUUCCCCACGCCCUUCCCCCAAUAAAUCACUGUAACACGUCAAACAGAACACAGCAAAGCUUCAGGAUUUGAAAACAGUAGUCCCAGGAGGAGAAGAGGGCAACAGAGGAUGAGAUGGUUGGAUGGCAUCACCAACGCAAUGGACAUGAAUUUGAGCAAGCUCCAGGAGACAAUGAAGGACAGGGAAGCCUGGUGUGUAAUAGUCCAUGGGGUCACAAAGAGUCAGACUUGACUUAGCAACUGAAAACAAGGCUUUACCCAUUAGGUUUCCCCAUUGCUUCUGCAAGGAGUUCUUGAACAGUCUAGAGUGGGUUCUUGAAACCCACUCUAAACCAUCAAUUUAGUUUACCCAUUUCUCAUACAGAGGGUAAGGUGAAACUAACUCUGAAAGAAAUUUGUCCAAGUCUAGAUAAGAUAUGCAGAUCAUAUCCCACCGUUCAGUUCAGUAAUAGAUGUUAUGAGUUUCCAGGAGGACCAGCAGAUUCUUUCAACCACGUCACCCAAAUUCAAGACUCAGAGGUUCCAGUUCAGUUACUGUGCAUUACAGCUUCAGAUAUCUAAAGGGAACACACUGAUUAGUUAAGACUUGUUUUUAGGCAAAAACAUACGUGACCCAUAUUCGGAAUCAGAACAUUCGUUGCAAUCUGUGCUUGGAGGCAGACGUGUUUGUUUAUUUUACGAGUUUUUAAAGUGCCAACUCCCCAGCAGUGAAUUACUUAAUGACUCAAACACAAACCCCAAACUCCAAACUGGCUCAAGAGAGGUGGCGAUUACGGAAAAUUCUACUUCAUCUAGCCCAAAGAACUGACCACCCGUGAGCUGGAAAACAGACCUCAAAGCAGGAAAGAAACAGAAGUGUCCAAAGAAGAUGUGGAAAACACAACCCAGAAAAAGCUGACCCUCAAGAAAGAAGUCCGAUUCCAGACCGGUGUCAGUUUCCAGAACUGAAGAGCUAUAUGUGCUGAGUGAGGACAUAUUAAGUUUCCUGCUUUCCAUGGAGAAAAGCAAAUGCUACCCUAGCCCUUAAUUAAGGAUGUUAUCAUUGGUGACAGUGAUGUACCUUGAGCAGGGAAUACUGAAAAGAUGAUGAAGAUCAGAGCCAGGACUUGUAAUCCAGCAGCCUGAGUCCGGAACCUGCAGUCACCUACUAUGCUCACUAUUUCCCUACAUUCCCUACAUGAAGAUUUACCAGGCACUGUGCAAAGGGAAGUAUUUAGCUGUCAUAUCAUGAGGACACUCAAGCAGCAUGUGGAGAGGACCCUGUGGGGGAGAAACUGAGGCUUCAUGUCGACAAUCAGCAUCAUUUUGCCAGCCCUGCCAAUGACCCACUUUGGAAGCAGAACCUCCAGCUUCAGUCUAGCCAUUAGAUGAGACCACCACCC
ensembl:lncRNA